GGGUCCUUUUAGGAGGCGGACCGGAAGUCCGCCAGCCCAGUCUUUGUUCUCCGAGGUGAACUGGGUUGUGCUGUCAGCUGUCAGGUACUGUUUAUUAGUAUUAUUAAACUGGAUUGGAACCAGUUUACAGUCCAGAAUCGGGAAUCGGUGAAGUAAGAACUUCGUCCUGAGUAGUUGGCGUUGUUCGGUGGUUCGAUGCUAGCUGCCGGACAAACUGAAGCUAACAGCUCCGAAGGUGGGACAAGCCGCGAGAGGUGUUUCACUUUACUCUGGAGAAGCUAACUGUCCCCGCAGCAACACUGAUGUCAGCUAGCCGUGACCAGACGACAUGUCCGGUCUAAGUUCUCUCUGAGCUCCCCUGGAUGGUCCGGUGGCUCUUCAGACCUGUAGAUGGUGGGCUGUUUCUUCAGACCUGUAGAUGGUGGGCUGUUUCUCUAACUGUUCCUGUGUUAUUAAAGAAAGUAAUGUGCGUGGGGCCGUUGGGUCUGUUGGACUGGUUUAUUACACCCACGGGUGCAUUUGGGGUCUAAAGACUGGACUGAGUCCUGCAACCAGAUAUUUCAGCACCACCUCACAGAAACCAGACAGAGAAGCUGAUCAGGGAGCAUCCUGAGAAGUUAAAACAUUCAGGGAGAGAUGGCCUCCGUCGCAGGAAGGGCGUGGGGGUGGGUUCGCUCCUGGGGGGGCAGUUCUCCAACUGAUACCUCAGCUGUGAUGGCUGAGAAGCAGCAGAGAAGGGCGUACUGGAGCACCAGCGGAUGGACCUCCUGGAUCUGGGGAGGCUGGAGAAGAUGUAGUGACCACGGUGAGGCUGUGGAGGUGUUCUGGGAGGCGCAGGAGAAGCUCCAGCCAGUGGAGAUAGAGGAUUUUGGAGCAGGGAAACAGGAGACGGACACCAUGGUCCAGGUCUCCAGGUGGUGGAGUAAAUAUCUCCCAACUUCAUCCUUCUGGUCCAGAAGAACCGAGCCAGGUGGCCUAAGGAAGAGGAAAGGAGACAAUGCUGAUGGGGAUUUCUCGGAUUUUGAAACGCCACCUCCUUCUCCUCCACCCCUCUCUCCACUGACGUCUCCUUUCCGACUCUUUGCUUGCAGCUGGAUGGUGGAUAUCCUUCCAGAGCAUUACGACAUCUGCUUCAACUUCCUGCGUCACCUGUUUGACCUGUUUGUGGUUGCCUUCCUGUGGACUGUGUCCCCCCCCCACCAAGUUAAUCCUGGAGGUGUUGGGGGUCCAGGGAGCACUGAGGCUGUGGUUCCACGGGAUGGCCAUGUUUUUUGUCUCCACGGUGGGAAUGGCAGGAUUACUGUGGCUUAUCCAGGAGUAUCUCCCUCAGUUUGCUUUGAUCUAUGGCAUCGUGCAGGCGUUGGUUAUCUCCGUCAGCGUCCGGCAGAGCGUGAUCCUUGGUGUAGACGACGACAAAGAUGAGGAGGAGGAGAAGGAGGCUGAUGAAAUGAGAGACAGUAAAGAGCAUAAAGACAAACUUGUGUCAAUGUAGGACAUGCUGAAGAUGUUGAGAAGACGUCCAGGCGUCCGUCUUUGAGACCCACUACGACUUCACAGCCGGACUUCACCACUGUAUGAGUGAAACGCCACUUUCUCCAGACGCUUGACUUUCAGUGCUUUAUAUAUGUUUUUUACACACGUGUGUGUGUGUUUUCAGUCAGUUUUAACUAUGUCACCAGAGUUUUUCUAAAUUUAUUCUAAUCAGAAAGGAACGUGUGGGUCUGCCUUUCUGCCGUUUGCUUGUUGUUAGUAGUGGGAAGGAUUUCCUCACCAUGAGGUUCUGACAGCUCUCACUAGCUGGGAAGUCAAAUCCAUCAUGAGCUGAUGAACAGAUGUUUAUCUUCAACAAACAAAUCUUUCAUUUACUGCUACGACAUGCUGGUUUAAGAUGUUGGUGAAGGGUAAGGUUCCUGGGAGGAGACCAGCAGCCUCUGCAGACAGGAACAUGAACCACAGGACUGAGCUGCUUCUUUCCACUUUUUUCUAAUAACGCUAAAACUCUGAAAUGGUUUCGAUGUUAAACUCUGACCUGACUGAGGUCAGGAGGAGUCUGUAACACACUCAUGUAUUUAUUGUACCUCUGGCCUGCUGCCUUAUGUCACUUCCUGUGCCACCAUGUUUCCUGUUUGUCCACCUGUGGCUUUCUACCUGCUUCCGGGGUUACAGAACAAACGGGAUCAGCUGAAAAUGAGUUGCAUCUUUUUUCAUCAUCACUCAUCAGUUUGCUGCUUCUCUUUAACAAUCAGAUAAAAUGUGUUUGGUUUCUCUCCAGCAGCUUCACAUCGCUGGAGUUCAGGAAAAUAAGGAACUUUCUGAAUCUGUGGUUUAAUGAAUAAAGUUAUAUGCUGAAAGUUCAGUUUCACAUGAAGGUGACAUGUUGCCUUUACUGUCUCUGACAUUUUUUUGCCAGAAAUGAAAAAAUGUUCUUUUAGAUUUAGUCUGUUAGACUUCAUUUUGUUUGUGAUGGCACCAGUCAGAGCACGUGUGCAGCUCCACGUUGCCUUUCAUUCACCACGCUGUACCCAGCUUUAAUGCAGGGAUAUCAACACUGAUGGCUGUUUGGAAGAUAAUAUGGAAGCCAAUGUGCUGGAUCACCUGAUCCGUAGUUCUACUCUGUAGUAAGUGAAGAUGCUUCCUGCUGUGAUCUGUUGGUGUCCCACGUCAGCAUUAAAGCCCACCAUUCAUAAAC